rnacentral:rRNA from 1 species
UGGCGGCGACACAUAAGACAUGACAAGUACGAACGGAAGUCGUUAAAAAAUAGUAAGUUGAAGUAUUAUCGGAUUAGUAAAUUUUAACAAUGGCUUAGUGGCGGACUGGUGAGUAACACGUAAGCAACCUGCCUAUUAGAGGGGAAUAACAGUGAGAAAUCAUUGCUAAUACCGCAUAAGCUGAUAAUAUCGCAUGAUAUAGUCAGAAAAGGAGUAAUCCGCUAAUAGAUGGGCUUGCGGCUGAUUAGCUAGUUGGUGGGGUAACGGCCUACCAAGGCGACGAUCAGUAGCCGAGUUGAGAGACUCUACGGCCACAUUGGGACUGAGAUACGGCCCAGACUCCUACGGGAGGCAGCAGUCGGGAAUAUUGCGCAAUGGAGGAAACUCUGACGCAGUGACGCCGCGUAUAGGAUGAAGGUUUUCGGAUUGUAAACUAUUGUCGUUAGGGAAGAAAUUUGACAGUACCUAAGGAGGAAGCUCCGGCUAACUAUGUGCCAGCCGCCGC